UACGAAGGGGGCUAGCGUUGUUCGGAAUCACUGGGCGUAAAGCGCACGUAGGCGGACUUUUAAGUCAGGGGUGAAAUCCCGGGGCUCAACCUCGGAACUGCCUUUGAUACUGGAAGUCUGGAGUCCGAGAGAGGUGAGUGGAACUCCGAGUGUAGAGGUGAAAUUCGUAGAUAUUCGGAAGAACACCAGUGGCGAAGGCGGCUCACUGGCUCGGUACUGACGCUGAGGUGCGAAAGCGUGGGGAG
rnacentral:rRNA from 1 species